GACGAACCGUGCGAACGUUGUUCGGAAUCACUGGGCAUAAAGGGCGCGUAGGCGGCUUAUCAAGUCAGGGGUGAAAUCCGGCAGCUCAACUGUCGAAGUGCCUUUGAUACUGAUGAGCUCGAGGGAGGUAGGGGUGUGCGGAACUUCCGGUGGAGCGGUGAAAUGCGUUGAUAUCGGAAGGAACGCCGGUGGAGAAAGCGGCGCACUGGACCUCUUCUGACGCUGAGGCGCGAAAGCCAGGGGAGCAAACGGG
rnacentral:rRNA from 1 species